GAUGAACGCUGGCGGCGUGCCUAAUACAUGCAAGUCGAGCGAACAGAUAAGGAGCUUGCUCCUUUGACGUUAGCGGCGGACGGGUGAGUAACACGUGGGUAACCUACCUAUAAGACUGGAAUAACUCCGGGAAACCGGGGCUAAUGCCGGAUAACAUUUAGAACCGCAUGGUUCUAAAGAGAAAGAUGGUUUUGCUAUCACUUAUAGAUGGACCCGCGCCGUAUUAGCUAGUUGGUAAGGGAACGGCUUACCAAGGCAACGAUACGUAGCCGACGUGAGAGGGGGAUCGGCCACACUAGAGCGGAGACACGGACCAGACUCCUACGGGAGGCAGCAGUAGGGAAUCUGCCGCAAUGGGCGAAAGCCUUACGGAGCAACGCCGCGUGAGUGAUGAAGGUCUUCGGAUCGUAAAACUCUGUUAUUAGUGAAGAACAAAUGUGUAAGUAACUGUGCACGUCGUGACGGUACCUAAUCAGAAAGCCACGGCUAACUACGUG
rnacentral:rRNA from 1 species